UACGGGGGGGGGUAAGCGUUGUUCGGAAUUACUGGGCGUAAAGGGCUCGUAGGCGGCCAACUAAGUCAGACGUGAAAUCCCUCAGCUUAACUGGGGAACUGCGUCCGAUACUGGAUGGCUUGGAUUUGGGAGAGGGAUGCGGAAUUCCAGGUGUAGCGGUGAAAUGCGUAGAUAUCGUGAGGAAGACCAGUUGCGAAGGCGGAUCUCUGGGCAGUUCCUGACGCUGAGGCACGAAGGCCAGGGGAGCAAACCGGGG
rnacentral:rRNA from 1 species